rnacentral:rRNA from 1 species
CCUACGGUGGGCUGCAGUGGGGAAUAUUGGACAAUGGGCGAAAGCCUGAUCCAGCCAUGCCGCGUGUGUGAAGAAGGCCUUCGGGUUGUAAAGCACUUUCAGUGGGGAAGAAAGCCUUGGGGCUAAUACCCUCGAGGAAGGACAUCACCCACAGAAGAAGCACCGGCUAACUCCGUGCCAGCAGCCGCGGUAAUACGGAGGGUGCGAGCGUUAAUCGGAAUUACUGGGCGUAAAGCGCGCGUAGGCGGUCUGAUAAGCCGGUUGUGAAAGCCCCGGGCUCAACCUGGGAACGGCAUCCGGAACUGUCAGGCUAGAGUGCAGGAGAGGAAGGUAGAAUUCCCGGUGUAGCGGUGAAAUGCGUAGAGAUCGGGAGGAAUACCAGUGGCGAAGGCGGCCUUCUGGACUGACACUGACGCUGAGGUGCGAAAGCGUGGGUAGCAAACAGGAUUAGAUCCCCGUGUAGUC